CCUACGGGGGGCAGCAGUGGGGAAUAUUGGACAAUGGGGGCAACCCUGAUCCAGCCAUGCCGCGUGUGUGAAGAAGGCCCUCGGGUUGUAAAGCACUUUCAGUGAGGAAGAACGCCUGGUGGUUAAUACCCAUCAGGAAAGACAUCACUCACAGAAGAAGCACCGGCUAACUCCGUGCCAGCAGCCGCGGUAAUACGGAGGGUGCGAGCGUUAAUCGGAAUUACUGGGCGUAAAGCGCGCGUAGGUGGCUUGAUAAGCCGGUUGUGAAAGCCCCGGGCUCAACCUGGGAACGGCAUCCGGAACUGUCAAGCUAGAGUGCAGGAGAGGAAGGUAGAAUUCCCGGUGUAGCGGUGAAAUGCGUAGAGGUCGGGAGGAAUACCAGUGGCGAAGGCGGCCUUCUGGACUGACACUGACACUGAGGUGCGAAAGCGUGGGUAGCAAACAGGAUUAGAUACCCUUGUAGUC
rnacentral:rRNA from 1 species